UCGGGAAUUUUGGGCAAUGGGGGAAACCCUGACCCAGCAACGCCGCGUGAAGGAUGAAGUAUUUCGGUAUGUAAACUUCGAAAGAAUAGGAAGAAUAAAUGACGGUACUAUUUAUAAGGUCCGGCUAACUACGUGCCAGCAGCCGCGGUAAUACGUAGGGACCAAGCGUUGUUCGGAUUUACUGGGCGUAAAGGGCGCGUAGGCGGCAUGACAAGUCACUUGUGAAAUCUCUGGGCUUAACCCAGAACGGCCAAGUGAUACUGUCGCGCUAGAGUGCAGAAGGGGCAAUCGGAAUUCUUGGUGUAGCGGUGAAAUGCGUAGAUAUCAAGAGGAACACCUGAGGUGAAGACGGGUUGCUGGGCUGACACUGACGCUGAGACGCGAAAGCGUGGGGAGCAAACAGGAUUAGAUACCCAAGUAGUCCCUGAGCGGGCUGGCAAGGCGCAU
rnacentral:rRNA from 1 species